GACGAACCGUGCGAACGUUGUUCGGAAUCACUGGGCAUAAAGGGCGCGUAGGCGGCCCGCGAGGUCGGGGGUGAAAUCCCACGGCUUAACCGUGGAAGGGCCUCCGAUACCGGCGGGCUGGAGGGAGGUAGGGGUGCGCGGAACUUCUGGUGGAGCGGUGAAAUGCGUUGAUAUCAGAAGGAACGCCGGCGGCGAAAGCGGCGCGCUGGACCUCUUCUGACGCUGAGGCGCGAAAGCCAGGGGAGCAAACGGG
rnacentral:rRNA from 1 species